UAUGAGAUCAUGUUGGCUGAAACCAUCCCUAGCAAGUGAGGUAUAAAGUACUAAAUCACAAAUUAAAAACAAUCAAAUGUCAAUUUUGAAUCUUGGGAAUUGCCUUUCUUCUGGACCCUGAAAGGAAAAGAUUGUUUAAAUGAAGGAGCACUUGAGGACCUAUUAGACCUCAGAACCUGAACACCUCUGCCAUCCCUUCUGACUGCAUCCAAUUUAAGGGAAGAAAUUGUGAGAUAUUACAAAUAUAUUAGAAAUUGGGGGUUGUAAUUGAAAUGUAUUAUCUUCCCAAUAAAUUUCGUGUCGUGGUGCA
rnacentral:lncRNA from 1 species